rnacentral:misc_RNA from 1 species
UUCCUCCACUAUCCUCUCUAGGAAUCUCCGUUGGGCUUCAAUUUUCAUCUUCAAGCUCUUUUGAACCUCAAGUUGAUCACUCAGUCGUCUUUGCACUUCCAUCUGCAUUUUUAAUGCUUCAUUAAGUUGAGCACCUGAUGUUGCACUGAAAUUUGGCAGCAAUUCUGAUAUAUCUCUCCUCUCGAACUUAACUUUAUGGUUUGAUUCAGGGAUAAACUUUGAGAUCCUGUAUUUCUGUAAGUGGCUCUUGACAUGGUAGAUGGUGAGUCCAGAAACGCUCAUAGCCUUCAAGAUCCCCUUAGGGGUGGCCCUAUCAGGACCACCAAGCUGAUUCACAGCUCUUUCGAACUGAUCAUGUAGUUCUUGAGUCCAACGCAACCGCUCCUUGCCGGAGCCAUCUGUUCGACUCGAACCCAUUAUCAGAAUCAGCUGAUCAAUGAGCAGCAAUGUCCAAGCAAUGCUUGUGAAGGAGGAGGAUUA